rnacentral:rRNA from 1 species
CCAGACUCCUACGGGAGGCAGCAGUGGGGGAUAUUGCACAAUGGGGGAAACCCUGAUGCAGCGACGCCGCGUGGGUGAAGAAGCGCCUCGGCGCGUAAAGCCCUGUCAGCAGGGAAGAAAAUGACGGUACCUGAAGAAGAAGCCCCGGCUAACUACGUGCCAGCAGCCGCGGUAAUACGUAGGGGGCAAGCGUUAUCCGGAUUUACUGGGUGUAAAGGGGGCGCAGACGGCGAUGCAAGCCAGGAGUGAAAGCCCGGGGCCCAACCCCGGGACUGCUCUGGAAACUGCGUCGCUGGAGUACGGGAGGGGCAGGCGGAAUUCCUGGUGUAGCGGUGAAAUGCGUAGAUAUCAGGAGGAACACCAGUUGCGAAGGCGGCUCUCUGGACUGUAACUGACACUGAGGCACGAAAGCGUGGGGAGCAAACAGGAUUAGAUACCCUGGUAC